rnacentral:rRNA from 1 species
CUCCUGGAAACGGGUGGUAAUGCCGGAUGUUCCACAUGGGCGCAUGCGAGUGUGGGAAAGGCUUUUUGCGGCAUGGGAUGGGGUCGCGUCCUAUCAGCUUGUUGGUGGGGUAACGGCCUACCAAGGCGUUGACGGGUAGCCGGCCUGAGAGGGCGACCGGCCACAUUGGGACUGAGAUACGGCCCAGACUCCUACGGGAGGCAGCAGUGGGGAAUAUUGCACAAUGGGCGCAAGCCUGAUGCAGCGACGCCGCGUGCGGGAUGGAGGCCUUCGGGUUGUAAACCGCUUUUGUUCAAGGGCAAGGCACGGUUUCGGCCGUGUUGAGUGGAUUGUUCGAAUAAGCACCGGCUAACUACGUGCCAGCAGCCGCGGUAAUACGUAGGGUGCAAGCGUUAUCCGGAUUUAUUGGGCGUAAAGGGCUCGUAGGCGGUUCGUCGCGUCCGGUGUGAAAGUCCAUCGCUUAACGGUGGAUCCGCGCCGGGUACGGGCGGGCUUGAGUGCGGUAGGGGAGACUGGAAUUCCCGGUGUAACGGUGGAAUGUGUAGAUAUCGGGAAGAACACC